AUCGUUGCCGAGAUGUUUUCUUUUCUAUCAUAGGUAUGCAAUUUACAAGCAGAGGCCUAUAAAAGGUCUGAGAGGGGUUUUGUAAUGCAGGUGCGCACAUAGGCAAUACCCCCGCUAUGCGACCAUGAUGUGUCAGAAAAACAAAUGAAAACACGCAAUGCGUAAGCGAUAUGAGUGGAGAGGGUGAAACUUGCUUUGAAGGCAGAGUUAUGUGGAGCGAAGCGGGCUGUGGGUGGAGGAGCACAGGGAUUGAACAGCUCCACUCAGCGCACAUGCUGCGGGGGCUUUCAGGCGUUUUUGUCUUAGCAUGACCCUCCGAAAGUCCCCUGGCAGAAAUGGGUCUGAACGCACAAUUUGACUUUCACAAUCCCACUCAAUAAAAUAUAAAGUAUUGGAAGGCAUUAAAGACGAUAAAUUAACCACAGGAAUGUCAUGGGGGCACUUUGUCUACCCUAGAAGUAGCUACAGCUAGGAGUUGCUUGGCGCCACAUACAAUUCUCUCAAUGACGCACAGAACUGCACACAUGUAGUUUUAACCCCAUGAAUUGUAGCAGUAAGUUCUCUUUAUGCAGGCACAACAGUAUUGUUGUUUUAUGCCAGUAGAAUAACGUUGGCCAUCCUGUGGCCCUGCGGCCUACUCUUUUAUAACCUUGUUUUCACUCUCAGGUGAAAUAUUUUCACACCCGCUCUGAGCCGGGGUAGAUAGAGACUGGCUGGGCGAGAGGUGAAGAGCGUUUCCCGCUCUGAGGCGGCAGAGGCCAGAUCUGUGCCCCAGCACAGCAGAUAACAGCCUGCCCCGAAGAAAACAGGCCGUCAUCGAAUCAGAAAUCCAGUGGUGGUUGAUGGUGUGCAAAUCAAAACAUCAGAGGCCAAUGUGCAUGUGAACAAGCUCAGCAGUAUCUGGCACAAACAGGGUUGUAGACACAGUUCCUCGGGCAUUAUAUACAGAUGCAUGGGCCACACAUUGAAACAUCAAGAGGUUGAGUUGAAGUGUCACGAGUGUCACAGUUUUGACAGUUCACAAGAGCUGCCUCACAGUUCCCUUCACAUAGAUUCAAACAAACUACUUCACGUUCAUAAACAUCACAAUUUAAAAUUCUGAAACUUUACCAUUUUAGGUAGAACCAGACUUAUCCAUUACAUGUAUAAACUUUGUUUAUACCUCUGUGUGUGCAUAUUUAUACAUAUGUUGAAGUUGUUCAUAUUCCUGACUUCUCAUUAAGCAUAAACAUCUACUACAUCACUCUUAACAUUUCCUUUAUCACUUUAAAACACUCGUUUUGUUUUUGUUUUCAAACUCUCUGUGUGUUUUUUAUUGUUAGCACUUAACAGUUUUAUCAUUUAGCACUUUGGGAUUUUCUUAAAUAUAAGGUGCAUUACAAAUUAAAUGUAUUACUAUUAUUAUUAUUAUUAUUAAAAUACUGUGAACAAUAAAAUGAAGCUUAGGCGGAAGACAAGUUGUACAUCUGUACAUUUCCUGUGGGGCAGGCUCGUUUAGUACUGGCCAACCAGACGUAGGCACCGUUUCCGUGAACCAAUUAUUAUCGAUGCAGUUAAAACUGUUCUCCUCUCUGUCACUGUCAGCUGUCAUUUCAGCAGCUCCAGAUGUAACACUCCACCAGUCCAGACCGAUCAGCAGCAAAACCCAACGUUUCAUUGGAUUGGAGCAACUUCUUCUCCACCACCAGCACCAGUGUCUGGACCCAAAGAGAUACAUUCCUCAUCCCGGCCCCUGGUUUAUCCUACGGUGGGAUGGAGACCAAGCUCCAAAGACUUUUCCCAAUUCUCUAUUCAUAUUUAUCCCUGUUUAGUAAAUCAUUGUUAAAUUCAAGAAGUCUCCCCUGAUCACUUCAUUUUGUGUUUAUUUAUCUUUAUAUUUACGUUUGUUAUUUUAACUUGCAACUCAUGUUGCUUGUAACAAUAAGAUGGAGCUUAAAGCUCAGAAUUCAGGAUGGAGUAGACAGUGACUGAUGUCUCCACUCUUUUUGUUGCAUCAGAGAUUAUAAAUUGCGAAUACAUAGCUAUAACUCAACGUAGCUUUUUAGCAUUGACGCACCACACUGGUGCUUGCGUCACUUUAGGUGAGGUGCAGCAGGACAUCGGUAUUUGAUGGCCUGGGAUUGACACGCUAGCUGACCAGCAACCGCCUGCAGACAGACAGACAGACAAACAGAGGAAAGUUUGGUGGAGGCCAAACCAGAGCUAUAAGCUAACAGCUAAAGCUAACUUAUUGAGUUUGAUCAAUGCAUGUUCACAGUUUUACAGGCAUCCUUCCAUCAUGCAUGUGCCCUUCUUAUCCCACUCAUCACAGAGACAACCGGUUCAGGUGACGCACAAGUCAUCACACAAGUGUAUUGUUCACCUGCCACAUGGUGUUGGCGGUGCGUUCCUGCAGGUGAUGGUUGUGGCUGCAUCUGGAGGGCGGAGUCGACUGUCUGUCAUUCAAAGACAAACAGGCAGUGACACAGACAAUCAACAGCAGCCAGCGAAACCAAAAACAGUGUUCAUCCAACAACAAAGAACAGAUGGGACCAUCGACACCCAGUUUGACCACUGAUUUUAGUUCAUUGAUGUGCCUUUACUGAAAUAGCAUGAUGUUUUUUUAAAGAGGGAAAAAGUCAGAAAAACGGAGUGAUUACGUGUGAUUAAAUAUUCCAAUAAUACAGGAAGUAAUCAUGUCCCAUGAUUGUUGAGCACUGUUUGAUCUCACACUGUGGCUCAAACAUGGAUGCUUAUGCAGCACAGUGUUUUUUUAAACUAUUUUUAAUGAUUUCCCUUUCGUCUACUUGAUCAAAGCCAGAGACCAGCGUAACCAAGUGACAUUUUCAAUGGUGGAAUAAAAAUAAUCUUUAAUAGCCGUUGUUUUUUCUCAUUAGCUAAUGUUUUGGCCGUGUUAUUCCGGCACCGUGUACGGCGAUGACAGCUCCUUUUGUAGGUCGCUCUGCUUCUUGUUACUCCCUGAUCAGUCCCAAUAAAUCACCAAACAGACACUUUGAAACAGCAGCAAGACGCUGCUCGCCCGACCAGCCCAGAUUAAAGGAGGAGGAUGAGGGGAGGCGGGGGAGGGGAAGGGAGGCCUUUUCACACACAACUCAGUCAGCAAAGAGCAGAAGAAGAGUGCUUGACACCUAAAUUACCCACAAAGAUGUGCAGAUUAAUCAUUCAUUCUUGUGCGAGCCCCGGCAUGUACCUCUUGACACACAGACAGACAAAGCUCUGCACAUUCACACGCACACACACACACACACACACACCGGAAUACAGUAUUCAUAAAGGUGGUUUCAAACUGUGGAGCAUUUGUUUUACAGCUGUAGUAGGAUGAAUAAUCUAAACACUCGUUUCGCGGCUGUUUGACAGUGAUGAUCUUUAUCUGUUUUUCACAUCUGCUCAGUGUGUGGCUCAAUAAUCUUAUCUGGGUCAUAAAGGAGAUUCAAUGUUUUCUGAUGACAGUCUCUUCCUGACCAUUUGUUGGUCCCAUGUUUCUGUAAGUCACAAAAACAAAAUAAGUCACUUGAUAUCCUGGGUUUGGUCUCGCAUUGGGUCCCAAAAGGGGAUGUGCUGAUUUAUUUGGGAAGUAAUUUAGAAGGAAAAAAUAAUUCAAACCAGAUCGUCUUUUUUGAGGAGACAUGGAGCAGCCGUGGUGCAGCGUCUCUGUGCCAUCGCCCCAAAAGUUCAAUGGGUAUGAUUUUUAUUUUUACCCAGUAAAAUAAAAAUCAUACCCAUCAUUUAGAAAGCAGCAUUCAAAUAAAGUAAACCAAAGCACUCUAAAUGAUUGUGUCGGAGACGUUGGCUCAUGUUGCGUUAUGGUGAAACAUUUGCACACAGCAAUGUAAUACAUACAAUUCAGCAGUUGUUCGAUACAUUACAAUGAUUGGCAUCAGGAUCACGUUAAACAGUCAUGGCAUCAAUAGUGAGAAUAUUGCCGAAAUUGCCCAAAUAACACAUCAAUUUUGGGUUUUUGCUGUUUUGACUUUGGCUGAACCAUAAUAGAAAGAGUGAAUGAGGUCCAUUCACUUGCACGUUAAAUGCUGGCAAUGUGCUGUUCAGUGGCCGGAGAGAGGCGCCAAUUAUCUGAUGAGCUGCAAGUUUCGUAAAUACGACGUGAACUGAAGUAUCACGGCGUUCCCCUUUUCCGAGUGUUUAACCUUGUUGAACUUGUUGUUCUUCUUUUUCUCUUUAUCACUGUCUAUCUCUUUUUAUCUCUUCAGUCUCACAGCUUUAAAACCGUUUGUGGACAAUAUGGUAGCUCACAGAGGAACCAGAGCACCAUCGAUUUCCACCUGAAGUACAGAUGGAUUGUCAGCAGGGUGUCUGUCCAUAAUCACGACAGGGUUUUGAUAACAGUAAUAAUGAUUGCCCUGGUGAAUAACAGGCUGCGUCUGGCGGAGGCUGUUUCUGCUGGGCAGCUGAGACAGCUUAGCUGGCCUGAGUGAUCACAGAUGCGGAAUAGAUUCCUGCUUUUUCUCUCCAUUAUUAUAAGUUGUGUGGCUUGCAUCCCUAUCCUGAGCAAAUAUGGAUCACAUUCAUGUCUGCUGCCCGUAAGGUCAAACAAAUGUUUGAGCGUUCAUUUUAGGGACAAUGGAGACAUGAAGCUAAAACCAUUGCCCUCAUCAAUGUGAAUAUACAGUAAUUAAUGUAUUAGUCCUAUUUGGGUCAUGACUCUCUUUUGAUUGCCGAGGCAGUCUUUGUCUCAGUGAAUUACGUUUCUGAAUUGGAUUUUCAGAGGAUUUUUACAGCAGCAUAUAGUUUUCUGAGUAAAGAAAUAGUUGAUCGGAUGUUCAAUCCACUUAUUUACUUCACUUACUAGACUUCUACUUAUUUAAUCCGAUAUGCUGUGUUUAUAUAGCUGAGCACGAACACAUGCCUUUACUUCAUGAUGUUGCAUGUGAGCGUGCCCCCCAACGGCAAGCCACCCAUGACAUCGUCCGGACAGCAUUGCUGCAGGAGGAGUGGAGCUCAGCCUCCGGCUCCCACUCAGGUUAACACGGUUCGCUCUGUAGAAUGUUUGCCAUAGUUUGUACUGUAGCGCUACUAGUCACCACUGGGAAAAUGGUUAAUAGGCAAAAACUAAAAAGGCACAAAAGGCCCGGGUCCCGGUGAGGAAAGUGGCAGGUAUGCCAGAUGGCCAGUCCAGCCCUGCUCUCCAUAGUGAUCUGUAGCUCUUGGUAUGAAAGCUGGGGUCUGUACAGCAGCGCUCUAAAGGGGCUUGUUGUUAACAGCAUGUUUAGAUGUGAUCUUGAGUGUUGCUACUUGUUGAGCAGCACCUGCCCCUCGUCCCUUCAUUCAGUCCUUCAGUAAGUCAUUGUUCUCUGCUUUGUUUGAGUCACACUUUGGCAGUGACUUCAACAAUACCAAGUGACAAGGUUGCCGAUAUGUCUCUGCUACCGGCAGCACCUGAGAGGCCCCGCCCUGAACAGAAAGCCAGCCUCAUUUGUUACAGCCCCUGUGUGACAGCGCUGAGUAGAGAACAAUGGCAUCUCUUGUUGCGCAGUACAAUGCUCCUUUAAUAUGCUUUGACAAGGCGCAAGCGGUACAUGCAAUGGCUAAGCAUCUUGGUUGUCACUGAGGUUAUAGACGACGGCUUUGCCGUGGUGUUAUUCCCACGCUUGCUUGCCCUCCCGUGAUGGCGUGUUGCUCAUAACAGGGAUGAUAGAGGUGAAUGUGUACAUACCUGGUUGCUGCAGGGUUUACAAAACAUCCUGUUCAAAUGUGAGGUUGGAUAUGUCUAAGAGUCUGGAGCUGGGAGUUCACCCCAGCCCCCAAUGAAAGACAUUCAGAUAUCUGACGCUCCCUCAUAAUUCACAACUAUGUGUCAUGAUGUAUGUCAUGGUUUGUUGUCCAAAAGGUCCACAUAUUAAGUAUAUUUGAAAUAUAAACACAAUCAGUGCACCCACAGAGAACAUGCACUGAAGGUCGUAAGUAGCAAAACACAGCAAUUCGCUAUUUCCGGUUGCUUCCCGAUAUCUAUUGAACAACAAUGUUUGAGUGGAGACGUAACCAAAGUCUGAAUCUCUCAACAGGCACGACAUGUUGUGUAACAUCAUCUUGUCUGUCAGUCACUGUGUGGAUUAAAGUAGAAGCAGAGUUCUUAUGACAGGGAACCAGCAGGUAGAUCAUCUUUCAGGAUACAUACACACGUUUUCAUGUGAACCCAGAGUGAAUCUCAUCAUAUCAUAUCUGCUGACUCAUAAUGGAAACCCAAAUCAGCAGACAAUGGUUUUACAAAAUGUCAAUGACAAAGCCCACCCUCAUUGGCCCACCCUCAUUGGGGCUGCAAGGAAUAGUUUGCGGUCAACGUGCAAAAAUGAUUCAAAGCUUUUUGGGGGACAUUUGUCACAUGCCGAGAUGAGCGUAACAGGGUGGUCAAGAGAAACGCUCACCAAUGGGAGCUCAACACACUUUAACACUUUAAACAAAGCAUGUCGGAACAAUCUUGACCGAGUUGUAAUAUCAGCAAAAAGUUGACAUUUACAGACAUUUACAUCUCUGCGAUAUCAUUCUGCUUUGAAGGUUAAACAGCCCACUGUUUAGCAUGGCUGACUGCCAGGCUUAGGGGAAACAUACAAACCUGUUUUAAAGAAGUGUUUCCCAGGAACCUUGACAAACAUAAGCUGUGUGUUUGGGUGGAAACUUGUUUGUGUAAUGUCAGUUGCCCUUUGCUCUUUAUAUGUCUCGAGUCCCUUGGCAGUUACUUGGUCUCUGGGAAGAUGAAAUCUGACGCUUUUGCUUGUGAUGUCCCUUUGAAGGAGUACAUUAGGCACAACAGUCUCUAUAAAGUUAUAGAUAUCCCAGGUUUAGGUGUUUAUUUGAGUUUUAAGAAAAAAACAUCCAGCAGCCUUCACUGCCUUUUACUAGCUUUCAUCACUGUUUUUGAAAGUGGAAGUUUAUUGGGCCCUACGAAUAAACAACAUUCCUAAAAAGCCAAUUACCACAUAUAAAAGUAGCUAUUUAUACAACAAAUAGCGGCUGUGGUUCAGCGGGGCAGGGGGAGAGCAGUGUCCCCUUUUUCCAAGUGAAAAGAGACACUACCUCUCAAGUCGCACCCCAGUGUCUUUAUAGCAGCCCACCGCACCUUGAUGGCGAGCACAAAUACCAUGUAAUGUCUGUAAUGGUUGAAUAGAACAUGGAUGAAUAUAUGAUCUCACGUUUGUUAAUUCCUACCCACGUACCACAGUGGUUGUUUUCAAGAAAUAUAACACGCUGGUCGUUGACUGCUUUUUCUCAUUCAUGGUGUGUCAUUUCACCCACAAGCCACCAGCUAUUGACAAAAAAGUUGAGAACAUUGUUUCUACUGAGCUCGACUCAUUAACCGUAUGAGCGUGCAUAACAUUUAUCUUGUCAUGGAGGAGGAUUGUGCUUCUGACAUUGAAAAGUGAGCUUUUAGAAUGUAGAUGGCAAAUGGGGAAUUAGCUGUACAUGUAUGGAUCUUCUCUAGUCUUCUGACCACUUUUAGGCUUCAUGUCAUCAUCCUCACCCCAAUGACAGGAGCUACCAUCCACAGUGACACACUGUAGUCACAGCUAAGGGAGCAACGUUCCGUCCUCGCUCUAUCGUCCUCAGGCGAGGACCUGUAAAUGGAACAAUGUCCGCCUUCAUUGAGUCUGGACAUAUGGUGGAGAUAAGGAGUGAGACUAUAUGCCUUUUUUACUCCAAAUCUCUCUGGAGGUUUGGAAAGGCUAUAUUCUUCAUCAAGAUUGCUGCUAACGUUUGCUGGACAUCUGUCAAGUUGGACUCUGUCGGUCAAAGCUUGACCCAGUCAACCGGUAUUUUUCAGUCAACCACUCUGUAUGGGCAGUAACAGCCCUGAUAAAUCAAAAAAUAGUCUCCCAUGACACGUUCAUUUUGCCCCACGCAGUCAUAGUGCGGGUCGGGCAAUGCAGUGUCACUGUGAUUGUUGUCGAGGUGACAGCAGAUAACUGAUCAUCAGAUAUUUAUUCUGUCUGCUAGUCUGCCGGAUCGCCUCUUCAUCGCUCUGCAUGCCAGGCUUUCAUCUCCUGCAGCAAAUAAGCAUACAAGCAACGCACACACACAAACACCCUGCUACUCCACCGUGCCUGCCAGGAGGACUUUUUGUUCUGUGAUGUAUGCCGUCACUCCACCCUAUUAUUACCUCUGACUGUAAUAGGCACCUUUGUUCUCAAUCAACUUUUUACUUUUUACUUUCUGCUGGUGGAAGAAAAUGGUUUUGCAGCAGACACAUUUUAUUCCUCACACACACGCAGGAAUGUCUGCUGGUGUCAUCCACUUUGGCUGCCGGCCUGGCUCGCCCAGAUUGUUCACACAGCACUUUUAGCACUCAUAAAGGCCAGCACGUCGCCAGAAUGCUGUCAAAACAUUCAAAAGGAGCCCUAUGCUUUUUAUUGUCGGCUCCAGGGUGGAUGGUAGGUGGUCUGUACUCAGACUUCACCAAAGAGCAGUUCAUACUUGUAAUCAAGAGGCAGCAGAUUGAUACGAGAUGGACUGGCAUAGAGGAAGGGGGAGAAACAACACAUGGAAUCCAACGUUCAUUGUUCGGCUUCUUUCGCGGCUCCCUGUGUGAAUGAUUUUCUCUCGCUCGGCUUUCUUUUUUUCAGCCGUCUCUCUCGUUCUCACUCUUCCUGCCGUUGUCUGUCCCUCUCUGGCACGUCAAGGUGUUAGAUGCUGUUUACAUAAAUCUUUCUAUCUUUCUGCAGGGUUGAUGGAGCGAUACAGAGAUGAUUCUGUCUGACAAUGUGCCCACGGAUGGAGCGAAAAAGCGAGCAGGCUGAGAUGAUCCCCAGAGAUAGGGGAGGAAAUGGGAGCCGACUCACCCAGCAAUUGUCCACCAGUUUUCUUCCCCUGUUAUCUUUGUCGCUCUGCCUCUCCCAGAAACACCCACGCUACCUACGCACAAAGAUCCUUAUAAUCCUGUUGAUUACGGUUAGGGUUUGGUUUAUACCCAACGUGUCCGGGUACGUUCUCUCCUAUUCAAGAUAUUUAUUGUCAUGUGUACAGUUAACCAAGUUACUCAACUAUAUCGUUGUACAAUUAUGUGUUUUUAUGUCCUCCUUCCAAAUAAUUUAAUGCAAGUUUAUACUUAGGAGUUUGUUCAUGUACUGUACAAAGAAAAUAUGUUGUUAAUUGAUACAAAGAUAUAGACAAAAUUCUGACGCAAUUUGGUCCGCAAAAUUAUUUUGGUAUCUGCUUUAUCCGAUCUUCAGAUUUCUGUUGCAGAAAUGUAUGAACUUUGGCAUAACAUUUGUAUAAUGUAAGUUCAACAAUUCAGUAAACUUUUAAGACUCAACUCUUUGUCUCAGGUCUUACAUGAGUCAACUGCAAUCUGUUAAGCGGCCGGAAUAGAUUGUAGAAUCUUCAAUCUGGAUGAUUAUCUAGGCGUGGGGUUUGGGUUUAAUCCGGGUUUAUUUUGCGUUUCCCUGCCUCUCGUGUUCCUGGGAUAACUUACCUCCCUCUCUUUGUGUGUUUUUGCCUCGUUGUGAUAAUCGACCUUGAGUCUGAUCGUUUCCACCUGAGUCCAAACACCUGCACCUCCCAAGUGUAUUUGAAGAAUAGCUCUGGAGGACCCAGCGUGGGCUGGGUCUUUCAAGGACCGCAUAGGCUGAAGCUGUGUCUCAACUGCCCAGGCUGCGUCCUUGUUAGUCGCUGAACCGACUGGUCUCUGAAAUGAAAUUAAAAUCGGGGGAGCCAUAUACUUUAGGUAAAGGUAACAUUGCAAUCCCAAAGGUAGAGGAAAUCAAUCAAUACUUUUUUAAUUUGUACUAACACUUAUUUACAGACUCAUAUUUUUUCUUGCACAGAUGCAAGUACCGAUAUUACAAAGUACUUCCAAGCUACAAUAGAUGAAUGUUCAAAUAAUACAUUUUUUUAAUAAAAUCACAGUGGAAUAAGCAGGGCUUUUGAAGUGAGUCAGGGUGAAGAAAUAUGUAGCAGGGGCAAGAAAUUCAUCUGUCCUACAAAUAACAGCAUGAACUAGAAUAUCUUCUUUUAUUCAAAGGCAUAUUUUUGGUGUGAUUCUAAAGCCGUUCUCUUAGUGAGGGUAAAAUAACCUUGACCUUGAUAUCUGUGAAAUCAUAUGUUGUCUCGCAUUAAAAAUGUGCACAAUAGCAGAGCCAGACUUUGCCAUCCAGAACUGUACAAGUAACACAUCCAAAGAGUUUGAGGGCAAAGCGAGAGAACUAGUAAGUGAGUUUCAAAAUGCGAGCAUCCAUCUGUGUAUGCUCGCUAGAGAGCAACACUUGGAGGGCCGACUGCAGAAUCAGAGGGUGGUUUGACCCAUAUUCCAUUAAACUGCACACACAGGCUGUGCACUGUAUUGGCAGACAUGGUCAUUGCUUGCAGAGCGCCUCAGUGAAAACUGUGAUUAAGACACUGUUAUUGGAAAGGCAAAGAAUGUGGGGGCAGGGACGAAACCACGCCUCAUCAUAAUCAACACUGUCAUCUUUGCCUAUUCCUUUGUUACCCGUUUUACCUCUUUUCUCUGAGGGACUUUACUGGACAUGGGUCAGCAGAGGAUGAUGUGAAAAAAAAAAUUCCUGUAAACUGAAUGUGGGAUGAGAAUUUGAGAAUGCAUGGAACCAAAACUUUACUUUUUGUCUGAAAGUCGGAAGCAUGGUUCUAAAUCCCGUGUUAACAAUUCUUCAGUCUGCAACAAUUCAUUAAUAAGUUCUAUUUUGAAUUGUUUUUUUACCGUUAGUGUCAGCUUGGCACACACACGUUUGAGUUGUGGGCUCCAUCCUCUCAUACAACUCCAACAGAAAGAAAGUUACUUCCAAAAAGCUUGAAUUUAAAGCGGCUCAUAAUAAAGUCAAAGUACAUCUGAAUAACACAUUAUGAGUCAGCUCCAUGUGCUCGUAAAGACAAUUAGAUGCAAUAGGAAUUCCUGAAAAUCCUCAAAUGGACUUUGUGACGUACAAUUCCCCACUCAAACUCAUCACAUGGUCAAGAAUAAACAUCCUUAUGUUAUAUUUAUGUGGAUUGGGAUAGUGUUAGUUAUACUUUAGAGAUUUAGAGAUUAGCACCGAAUCCAAGCAGAUGAUUGGCCAUAUGGAAGGCUCAAACUCUGCUUUUAUUGGUUGACUCACAAUACUGCAGAUAUAAACAGAAAAGAUUCACACAGCCCGUAGGAUUUAAUGUUGACAGAGAAUGCAUAACUGUACUUUGUGACUACUGUAUGCUAUUAAAAGAAUCCACCCCCCUUGUGUGUAACAAUGGACACCAGUUUGUCUGAAGGAGCGGUCGAUAAUACACAGUGAUGGGUUUACGAAACAGAUUCAACCAACUGCAAGAAGAUAAGAACAAAAGAGACAUGUGGACGUUUGUGUUGACUGAGCAUGACCCUUGCCUGCAGAUUGAAGGAAGCCCAUGUUGCCUCAAACAUCGCUGCUUCCUGUUUGGCAGCAAGUAGCUGGAGAGCGAUAGAAAGCUGAAUGGAUCGGGGUGGAAAGAGUCCAGCUUCUUUCACAUGAGCUGCAACUUUGUCUCCCCUCAUGCUGCCCGGUGCUUGGGAUUCCGUUGCCUUUGAACGUUUGUUUUUGUUUCAAAGUGGGUUUGCUUUUUCUGUCCCACUCCCACCAAUGCGGUUCUUGAGAAGCCCUUUGUGACAUUGCUCUGUGAGAAUUGCCGUACUAUAUCAAUUUUACUCUACGUGCUUCCUUCACUCAGAAGUUGUACAAGUUUGUGGCUGGAUUCCCUCCUGCGGUGCAUCCAGAGGUAACAGCCUCAGGUACGCCGCUGACAAAUGUACCGUGACUUCAUUCCAACACUGCGCAAACGGCCCUCCUCUUUCCUCCUCGCUGUCCUUUCCAGUAACUCUUAUUUCUUUUUUCAUCUGCAUUCCUCUUCUCCUCCCCCCGUUUCCGGUGGCACUCCCUCGCCUGAUGAGGCAGAUGUGUCCCACUGUCCCUCCCACGGCUGUCAGACCUGCAGUGUGUAUGUGGGGGCUUAUACCUGCUCUUUUCCAUACAUCUGUCUGUUGGGGAUGUGAGAUCCAAAGUCCAUGUGAAACCAGCCUACCCAGAAUGCCCUAGGGAAAGUCACAUGUUGCUGCAUGUGUGCACGUUGUACACACGCAUGUGAGUCCAGACCUACAUUGUACACUGUUUAUUGAAAGUGAAAGUCAACUCCCUUCACAUUUGCUCUUAGCUCACAUUCCUCUCGGUUCAAGUACACAGAGCCGACAUUCACUCACUGCUGUAUAUGUUUAUGUUUACUUUUACAUUUGCAAUGAGGCUUUGUUCUACCAGGCCUGUUAAACAGUAGCAGAAAUGUAUAUUAUGUCCCAUGCACUCUGUUAUGACCUGAGCCCUGAGAAAAUAUAUGGGCAGAUCGUGUGGCGAGCAGCAGUCUGCCGCAGUGUGGCUGUAGGAUGCAGCCAAGGUCACACACUGGGUGAUGGUCCUGGUACCAGCUGUUUGAUGUCUGAUGUUGGGAUGAGAGAGAGUGGAUGAGUUAUGACAAAUUUAGUAAGAUGAAGCUUUGACUUUUACAUAUCAAACAUAGUUGAGCCCUUUUUAUCCUCAUUAACUUAGAAGCUGAAGCUCAGACAAAACCUCAGAAGAAAGGAGCAGUGGUUUGGACUUGUGCUAUUUGUAUAGUCGGAUUGUAAUAAUAUGUCAGCUUUGAUGUUUAAUAAAAAACUCACAUGCCUGAUUGAACGAUAAUAAAAUCAAUUGUAAACAUGCCUAAGUACAGCUAGUUUAAGAUAAUGAAUCCUUAUUGGCAGAUUCCUCAAUCCAAACUUUGCACUUAUUCCUGGAUGAAACUGGAUGGCUUGCUUCACAGUACCUUGUGUUACUAAAAUGGAAGGAGUCUCUGAGUUUCUUCUUUUCUUGUCAAUUAUUCUGUCAACUUGCCAACUUGUGUAUGCAUUUCCAAAAGUGCACUGUUGAUUGUGACUUUGUUUUGAUGGUCGGGUUGAUCUGCUCUGGUUAGUUUUAUUAGAAGAGGGGCACUUGACUGUGCAUCAUGCUCCUUACCAUCUGGUUUGUUCAUCAGCUACUUGUAAACAAAUUUACAAUCCAAUAAUCCAACCUGGGAAUUUAUAUUCUACCGAUAUUUUUAUUCAAAUACUGUUUUUUGCUGUUUUUUGCUGUUUUUUUCCACCUCCAGAACCUACACCCUUCAAAAAGUGAUACUCCCUCUGGGUGCAUGCUUUUCAGAAUACAACAAGAUUAUAUUUAGCAUAUUCUCUUUGGUUUGAACUAAUGUUUUGCCAGAAGUUAACAUCUGUGCGCACUUGUCCUCCAGUCCCCACUCAUCUUCACCUCCCCAGAAUGUAGUAUAAGCAUAAACACUGUAGUAGUAGUGUGUAGUACUGUAAACUGGAUGUAGAUAUAAUGCUAAAUAUAAGGAUAUAAUGUCACAUCAUUUGUUUCCUGAUUGUGCUCCUACACGUGUGUCAGCCCUGAUAAGAACUUCCUCCAAUGACUGUUCAUUUAUUCCAACCCUGUUGAGAUUAACAGAUCAAAUCCCCUGGGGAUGGCAUCUCUGAUCCUACCUCUUCCUCUUAAGGUGCUAAUUACUGCUCUGUAAUGAAAAUAAUCAGCACUUGCACAAUGUGCCAUGUGGAGCACUUGUUUUGUGAUUGCUUGUAUCGCACUGUGCAUCUUAAAGCUCUCACAAACAGGCUUAAGGAAUGAACUGCCUGACUGGAGCAGACAGAUAAGGGACAGUAUCUGGAAUAUUGAUGACAUAGUUUUGCAGCAUGUGGGAAAAGGUUGCUUGUAGCUCCAGCGGGCCUCUUUGAAGGUAAACAGUAACCCAGGCGAUCACAUCUGACUUCAUCUCAGGCACAGUUCCCUCCAGUUUCAUAAUAAACCCUAAAUAUUCAAUACACAAGUUCCCUGACAGUCGCGAUUCCUCUGUGGUGCUGUGACGUCUGAGGGUGUGAGCUUUAGAGCAGCCCUCCCCAGGACCUUGCCUCUUGCCAUGGCCGUCGAUUUGGUGCAGGCAGAGAGGGCAGCUCUGAUGUCAACCCUGGGAUCAUCGAGGGAAGGGUUUUCUGGGUAGACUAACACGACGUCUGAGCUGCUGUCUUUCUCCUUUAAGGAGAAACACGUCUUUCGGUAGUAAUGAAACAUUGACCUUGAUUUUGAUUUGAAGAUAUGAAUACCAAGAAAUAUGUAAUUAUUAACCACAUACUUUUUUACACAGAGGUAGUGGAGGUUUUCGACAUACAUAGGUUUAAAAAAUGCCAUUAAUAAUGUAAGAUCUCCUCAUAAGGGAGCAGGCACAGUGUCAAUAAAGACACCAUCAAGCUAAGUGGUAAAUGUAAGACAACAGGUUCAAACUGGUGUUUACACACGGAUCAACAAGGAGACAAAGGACACAUGUGGCCUCAAUACACCGAGAAGGUGCAGGUGAUUGGACACAGGGAGGAACAAUUAGCGACAAGAGAGACCAUCACCAGGGAGGGAAAAACACAAGUGAAGCCAACCCAGAAACCCAAAGCAGGAAGAUACUAAAUAAAACUGGAACAAGCACAAAUGUUACCAUGCUGAGAAGUGUGCUUUCUUGCAAGCCCCCUUGGUAAAUGGAGGAUCCAAAACAGAGAGAAGCCUUCAUGAAUCAAAGUCCAAUAACAGCAAAACAACAUCCAACAACCACUUAAGUCUAAAAUCUUACUCAUUCAGUCAUAUUCUCAGUACUUUAAUACUGCUGAGCACAAACUUGUGCAAACUACUCAUCUGUGCAAGCACUGUUUUUGUAAUUUACCCUCAUCAUUUUGAUAGUUAUUAAUUUAAGAUACCACCUUAUUCCUACAUGUUCUUGUAAAAACUGUUGCAUUACUUUUGUAAACGCUAACAUUUCGAGUUUGUUGCGUUUACUUUUAAUAUAUCACCAAAUAGUCUGUAACUGUAUGUUGUUUUGUUGAAAACAGUUACUGGACUACAAUAGAAACUGCCACUCGCUGUUGCUGGAGACGUUGAUAAUUGACAGUGUGUGCCAUCAGAAACAAAACAAAGCUUCAAAAGCAACACUGCUAAUUCAGAUAAUAAUUCUGUGUCAAAGCAAGUGAAUACUCUACAUCAGCGGUUCCCAAACUCAAGAAUGCCGCGUCCCACUUUGAAAUCUGACAAUCUUUUGUGGCCCACCCAAACCUUUUAAUCACAACUCUGAUCAAAACAUGAACAUGAACUUCCUCACUCGUGAGGAGAAUCUCUGCUCGCGCUCGAAGGAGAUUUCUACGCGCUCGCUGUUGUUCUUUCUGACAGUAAGGGGGCGGAGCCAGUCACCAUGGUCUCUACACCUGAUUGGUUACAAACCCCGUCUUUGGAUUGGCUGGAGUGAUGCAUUCACACAACUAUAGAAGCCCAUUUCCACACUAAUGUAAAGGGAUAGAAAGUCAAAAUUAUGAGAUAAAACGAUAUCAAAACACAAACGACACCUCUCUGUAACCGUAGUGGACUGUAGAUGACAACCAGCUACAACCAUCAUUUACCAUCAUUACCGGCACAUUGCGUGGAGACGGUGCUUUCAGGGUCCGAUCGAUGCUGCGAGGUGCGUCCGCUCCUGCCGCCCCCCUCGCCAUCCACGCUUUAAAUCUUCGGCUGCUUUUAGAAUAACUUAUUUCCCCGUUAAGAUGGUUCAGCUACUGUAGAGAAAAGGGAGCCGUCUCUCGCUCUUUAAUCUCAUGAAGUGCUCGGCAAGAACGACAGCUUUGUUUCUCCGACGCGCCCUGAAACAAGCUCCAUAUCUCACGCGCUUUUGCGCCGCUCAGCAUCUCGCCGUCGUAGACGAGCUUUGCCGUGUUUGGCAGAGCGCCUUGAGCGCCGUGUACAACCAGUAUGGAUCAACCGAUUAACCAAUUGAUCCAUAUAUAUAAGGCGCUCCGGAUUAUAAGGCACUGACGUUUUUUGAGGAAAUUAAAGUCUUUUAAGUGCGCCUUGGAGUGCGGAAAAUGCGGUAUAUUUACUUUAAUACUACAAGAGGGCGCCCCGUUUGUUGAACAACGACAGGCGGACAAGAGCAGCCGCUUCGAGCGAGAGCCUUAUUGUUUUAUUAAUCUGUUCGUUUGAAUUAUUUGUGCUUCAUCAAUUAAUGUUUCACAUAACUAAUGUGCCGCAUCAUAAAUAUUUUUAUAUUAAUUUCAAACUUUUCAAAAUUAAAAAUUAAAAACUUUUUAUUUAUUUAUUGUAAAUGACCUCUCGCGGCCCACCAGGGGGCCGCGGCUAACACUUUGGGAAUCGCUGCUCUACAUUACAAAUAUUUGGUUAGAGUUGGAUUCAGUUGGGAGGUAUUUUAUACACCAACACUGACCUUUUCCCUCUGAGUUGUGUGUGUGCAGGAGGUGUAUCAUGUUGGACCUUUGAUGUGACACGUGGCCUCUGCAGGGAUUAAAGAGGCUUGAUCUGAUCUGCCCCCCUGCUGUAGGUUCAUCAUGGCCCAAAUAACUGUGUGUUGCCUGAGCAACCCCUGGAAGUUAAGUUGUAGCCUCUGUGCUGUUUAGUCUCCCUGCAAGGUUCAGUGGGAGAUCUUCAUUGUAGUGUCAGCGAAAGAGAUGGCUUCAUGUAUCCUCCCUCGCUCCCCGCACUUCAGGCUCACUUGGCUUCACUUUUUAACUCACUGCUGGAGCCGUGCAGCACCUUUUUUCAGUAGACUUUAAAUCAUUGUUAAAGUCGCAUACGAGACUAUUUUCUGGUUUAAUUUGGUUUAAUUUAGCCCCCCAAAAAAUGUUUCUUGUUUGGGUUAACAUAAGUAUGUUGGUUUCAGAACUGUUACAUACACAUAUUAAUAAAGUUGCAUACAAUUCAUAACUGCAUUAUGUAACUUAAAAUAAACCAUGUUGCUAGAAGGCUGUGUUUGUAUACCACGUGUGUUCCUCACAUAGUUAAACCUCUGUCUGUAGGUACCUGUGUGGAGGGACAGGUGUAUUGGUUAGUUAUUAGAAAUCAAAGAAAGAAGGAAAGACUUAAGCAAAGCAGAUCUUAUUGGAACAGUGAGGCACGAUAGCGUACAAUCUCUCCUUAAACAAUGCAGUAAUCAUCAAAAAAAUAACGAUACAUGCUACUCUUAGCCUUACUGUGCGUUGAUGAACAGUCUUGUUUAACUCGUCCCUUUGUUGCGGAGAUUGAUUAUGGGAUCAUGAGGACUGAGGGCUGUUGGUGCGCUUGUAACACAAGUUGUGUCCAAGGGGGUAGAGGAAGUUUUCCUUCUUGGUGAGCUGCUUGGGCCGGAAGGGAAGACUGGGGCAGCUGGACUACUGUGGAGCAGCUAGAAAAUGGUUUUGGUUGGAGAGGCCUAAGUCCUUAAUCCUCGAUGCAAGCCAAUUUAGAAAGUUGAUUUGAAGAGGCCGUCUUCAACCUCUCGUCGACGCAAGUUGAUACGGAAAAAUUGAUCUGAGGAGAUACUGCAGUCUUAACCUCGCCCUGACAAUCGUCAGUUUGGAAAGCUUGAUUUGAAGAGAUCCCACAGUCUUAUCCUCACACUGACCAGAGUCAGUUUGGAAAGAAAAGCUUCGGAAGAGGCUUUCUUUAACCUCACACCGACUUGAGGCCUGUCCGGAAGAGAGAUGUGGAUUUGCAAAAGACUGUCUUUAACCUUGGGCUUGCAAAGGCCACUUCAGAAAGGAAUGAUUCUUUAACCUCACACUUCAAAGAGUUGAAGAGAGAUGCUGUCUUUAACCUUGCAUCGACGCAAGUCGAUUCAGAAAGAAAGUUUGAAGAGGGGGGAACUCACAAACAACAGCAGAGGGACCCCUGUGGUGUCCGUGGCUCGGCCAUUCAGAUCUCAGGGCCGUUUCACCAAGAGAGAAAUCACACCUAGGUGUGAAGGCACACUCCUUGCGGGGGGGGGGAGGGUUAUAUCCUGCAGCAGAAAUGCAUUCAAAAGUCAGCCUUGACUUUACGCUAUGGGAGCCCAACAUAAGUAUCUAUAAAUACUGCUAGUAUUUAACUAGUUCAAAUAGGUUAUUACAUUGGAAUAUCUCUAAAUCGAAAUAAUGCGUCUAUAGAGUCAAAGAUGUCCAACUCAAAUCUAUCAACAUUUAUUUUUCCCCAACAUUUCCCUCACAAUUUUGCAAUAUAUUUUUAGUAAAUGAUUCAUUUGUAUGCCUGCCCUAACUUGCAUCUGCACUUACUUUGGAAGUACCACUGAAAAUUGGAACUUAUUAUAAUUUGAUCUCAAUUCUAAAUUUUGUCAUUGCAACUUUUUAAAUGAUUUGUUGUUGUUGAACUGGUCUAGUUAUACUACAUACUACAUAGUGGGACAUAUUACUGCAAGAACUUUCCUUAAGUGCCGCUGGCUGCUGACUGACAGGUGCUGACUGGAAGGGGAAGAGAGAGCGGGAUACAACAGAAAACACUCUAAAAGCUCACUUAGAUUACAAGAUAAGGAAAUGGGUGUAUCGGGAAAUUCCCUCUCUCCCGGAGUUCUCUUUAUUCAUUCCAUUAUUCCUUCAUCACUUUUUGGCAGUUUCUCUAUGGAGAAAUUUCUUGGUCUGUUACUGAUUUGGUUUCAUUUUCACCACGUUCACUUGUUUUGGCAGAUCUUCUUGACUGACUGACUGGCAUCUCCUUGAGUGUCUCUGAAAUCAUUUCGAGCAUUCUUAUCGCAUCCAUUGGAGUCACUGCGGGCAGCUCCUUCCCGGUUACUCUGUGACAGUGACCGUUUGACAAUUGUGCAUCAGAGGGAGGUGCUGAACAGCCAACAAUACUCCAUCCAAGUCUGUAAGAAUGGCGAAGGGUCCGUUAUCCUUUCCUGUAAUGACACAUCUGGGUACGAGAGCUCCUGGACAAUUGUAGCCUAUGAGCUUUUGAAUUGUAUAGAUCUUGUGCUUUUACAUCAUUCUUCAAGUUGUGAUCUAUGAGCCUUUUUUGUUGAAUUAGUAAUUGUGAUUUAACCUAGCCAUUUUUUAGGUCCCUGCUCGGAAAUGGCCUACCCAUGAUAAAAAGAGGAUAUCUCUACAAACAUAUGGUCUAUUUGAGUAAUCUGGGUGACAAUAGAGGGAAGAAUUGCAAGGGUUUAUCCAAAUGUGUAGAUAUCAGAGUAUAUUUUGCAGGUUAAGACAAAAUGAAGAUGACACACUGCACAAGUGAAAUAGUUUCUGGUUCAUCUUAAAUAAAAAAGCACUUUCAAGACGAUAAUCCCUUUGGAUUCAUGCUGUUGUAGCUCCAAACUGCUACCAGAUCACAGCACAAUAUGUUAACAUUCUCUCUGCAAAGGUUGAUUUUGACAAAGUAAAGGACACAUUUUUAGAGACUGUUUUAGUGAAGGUUUAGCAGAGAUCUCGAGAAUUUUGGUUUUUGAAUAUUUUUGUGGCAAACUACCAUUUGCAUUUGUCACGAAGCAAACUAACCGUCUCACUUGUAUUGAACGCUAUUCGUGAUAUACAUCUCAUACGUAGGUGUAGUAAUAUUUGAACCAAACUAGGAUAGCUCUCUCUUAAAAAUUAAAGGCAGGACCAGUUUAGUUUAGACUUCCUUAUGAAGCAAGCCCAUCCGGCUCGAGGUCCGUCAUCAAAAUAAAGCCAAAGAAAUGGUUUCAUAAUAUUUAAAGGUUGUUUAUUCUUAGCAAAAUCAAGUCACAAAUUCGAUCACAUAAUAUUUAAUCAAAAAGAAGCCUAAUGUGUUCCACCACACAGACUGGUUUCAGUUAGUUGUCCACUGUAUCAUAAGAGAGCUCCUGAUUUCCAGCACAUAUUGUCUUGAAGUCUUUCUUUUUUUACGUCAUCUCCGGGGGGGGCUUCUCGUUCUUUGCCCAUCACCUCUCUCUGCACUAUUGUGCAAUACACAUAAUGGCCCUCCCUCUUGAUUGCCAGCUCAGGCAUACAAUAGAAAGCAGUUUAAAGCUAUUAGGAAUGCUUUUAAGAUUCCAUUUUCUUCACUCAAGCCACACUGGUGGCUUGAGUGGGAGUAUAAAUCGUGUGGCAGUGAAAAAGACCAGAAUACUUACAGGAUGACUUUAAUGGAAUACUUCAUUUUGAAGCUAAAAGUGUGAAAAAUAUGGUUGACAAGACCCUUGGGUGCAGGCGUUGAAUGGAGGAGCAAUUUUACCUCCACUUCCGACGGAUGAAUACUUCAACACAGGAAUAGAACUACAGUCCAUCCUGCUCCAAUUUUCAUUUUUCUUUUAUUGCCAUUUCUCCUCCUUGAGUAAAUAAUGCUGGAGGUGUUUUUAGUUCGAGGUGUGAACUAAAUGCACUGCUCCACACAGGAGGUACAGGAGACGGGCUUCAAGUUAGAGAAUUUUGACAUGUUCAUCAAUUCUUGACACUUUUCCCCACACAGCCAGGCCAAAUGCACGCACCACCCAUUUAAGAGAAAAGACACUCCAGUGACAGGUUCUUUUUCUCACAUUUAGGGGUGAGGGCAUGCUUUUUUAGACCGGGGUGCUUAUUUCAAAGUACAUUUCCUUUUUUCAUCCUUCUUCCCACUUUUUAUAACCAAAGUGGUGAGCGAAUAUCAAAGUUCUGCCACUUUUCAAGUUUAUAAUAAUUUACAUUUGAGAAGAACUAAUGUAAUGUACCAACUCAAUUUAUUUUCAAUUCAGUAAUUUGCCAUUCUAUUGUUUUCUAAAAGAGUCAACUUUACAUUAUGCAUUUCAGCAGGGAGGAAAAUGGAUAGGUGUGGUCCAAGCUUUUUCUCCAAAAUAAGACAGAUGCAGUCUCUAUUUAUAGUGCCUAUUUUGGAAUAGGGAGGAAGUAAGGUUUUGGUUAGUUAGGUCAGUGCGUGGGCUGAAGGUCUUGUUUGCACACUGAGACACUGGAGCAGCAGCAUUUAAGUCAACAGCAACUGUGCUCUCCCAACCACAGAAAAUGAUAAAAUGAAUCUCUCGAGAGAAACAUACUGACUGAUACAUUGUAAAUUACUGUGGCAUUUUAAUUUGAACAAACAUCAAUUAAUGGACAAAAGGGAUUUUCCACACUAAAAGUAUGUGACAGAAGUUUGAUUCCUAACUAAAGAUGAGCAAGGUUCUGAGUCAUUCAGUAAUUCCAGCUGGUCAAAGUCUAUGGAGCUUCUUUCCGGUCUUUGUUUAAGAGAGUGGUCUUUGAUUUUCCGAGCAUAACAUUGAUUUCAUGAUAACAAUAUUUUCAAAAGCCUGUCCUUUCAAUCAAAUAGCAGCUGUGUGCUAAACUUCUGCUUAAACUGUAUUCUCCCAGGCAGAAAUUUUGAUGCUUUUACAGAUUUUUUUCACAACAGCUUCAGCCCUUUACUUCCUGCUCAUGAUAUUUCUUUACGAUCGUUGAACAUGCAACAGAAUUCGUUUUCGGCAGAGAAAGAGAAAAGCUUCCACCAUGAGGGCCAAUAUUUACAGUAGAAAGAGUUGGAGAGCAUUUGAAUUUUAGGACCAAGUGGAAAAUGACAAUUUGCACUAUUCAGGGAAGGGAAAAAAUGCCAGUGAAUAAUUGGCGUCCACCUUUCAAGACAUACAACGGCCACAUACGCAGCAGGUAGAGAUGUUCAGUUACAAGGCCACAGAACACCAUUUACUACGUAAUGUUAAUCCUAAUCCCUCGGGGAAGGAAACUUCUACCUGAGCAUGCACUGACAGGUAAGCAUUAAAGGCUUGAAGGGACAUGGGAACAGAUUGAGGACAGGUAAAAAGAUUGAUUAAUAAAAAAAGGAGACAAAGAGGGGUGGGGCAGAGAGGAAUGGGUGAGAGGAUGACAGAUUAAGUAGCACGGAGGAAUGUUUAGUGUAGUUUAAGCGUGUGUGCAGAACUGGGGAUUUAUGGGUAGCGCUCGCUCAGGGCAAAAUAGUUUCAGAUAUAUUAAAGGACUUCAAUUAAAGUAAUAUGAGGGAAGAAAAGCAGUGUAGGUGGAGAAAUAUGGAGGGGGAGCAGACACUCUACACACCCUCAUCAAAUGAUUUACAAAUACCCCUUUUCAUCGUCUCUUCUUCCUGAAGUCCCUUCGUCAUGACCAAGUGUCCUGGCGUCAGCUCUUUCUGCUUUACAUUCAGUACAAAGAAAUGUUAUGUUUUGGUGCAACUAUCUUAUUUGGGAAAAAAUAAUACACGUGUACAGUUUACUAAUUACUGCGGUUGAAUUAAUAAUAUGUACAUACAAAAGAAAAUAACAUGUUACAUAUCCAUACAUAUCCUACAUCCAACAUCCAAAAUCAACAAACUUGUUUAUUGUAUCUUGACAGCAUUUUGAGAGAACACAUUACUUAGGAAUUGGAAAGGAGAGUAAGCCAUUGCCAGCCCUGCCACCAAGGCAUUGGAGUCAAUAAGGGGUGAACUCUUUCAUUUGGACUUAGCUUGGACAACAGAAACCACACAGCAGAAACAGAUCAGGAGCUUACUUUAGUGGUGUCUGAGUUGCUAGAAUAUAACAACAGGCGCUUUCAGUCAUGAAAGAGAAAAUGCUGUCGCGGUAAAAUUAGCUUUGUGAACAGUAACAAUGAACACGGCUAUAUUAAGUAUUCAUUGGUGUAACCUAGAGUUUAUACGGUCAUGUUUAGGGUAAAAUAUUCCAUUAACACCACACAUUAGGCUGAACAUCGCCGCUUCUCAAAUUGAUAACAUCCAUUUGAACCUCAGCAAUCAGUGCAAUAAAUAGACUGAACAUGUAAUUCAAACUCAAAAUAAAGGACUUAGAGCUAAGGACAACCCGAACCUGAAUCUUUAGGUUAAAUUUGGCUGUCUAGGAUAAUAAACCUUUUUUUUACUUUGCAACCAUUUUAUUAGUGUUAAACUAAUGUGGUGAGAUUAGAGCAGGCAGGAGAAUAACAGCAACCUCUAGCUUGUGGUUAAAAGCAACAGACGAGUUUGUUUAUUCAAAGUAUUUACUACUAUAAUUUUUGAAUGUAAAAUAUUACAGCCGCCAGACAUUUUCAAGAUGUCAGUACUGGAUAAAAAAAAUCUUUUGAAUCCUCUGGGAGUUUCAUAGGACUAAUGGGAUUCCCUGCAACUACUGAGGGGUAAAGAGUCUGGCCCAAAGCUCCCUGCAGACUACUUGUUCGACUUUUGCCAGCCAGACAUCUGAAUCACUAACUUGUAAAAGUGUCAUGAAAGGCGAUCUGUCCAUGAAUACUCCCCGCGGGAGUCUAAAGAGCAGUGUUUCUAGACCAUGGGAUUUGUACCAUGUCACCAACUCACCAUUUGUCUGACACAGUCCAUCCAGGGACCAAGUCCAGAUGGCCCUCCCACAUCUCUCCUCCAUAAAAUUGUAAGUUAGAAGUAAGCAAAGCUUCCAUAUAUUUUUCCACAAUCACUGACCCAAUGGUUUUUCUUUACGUUUGUAUGUGUGUGUAGUUUGUUGACCUUUGCCUUGAGUGGUACCAAGUGUUAACGAUCCAGUUUAGGGGCUGUGAUUAAGCAGUUAUGUGCAAAGAUCACAAGCCCGGGCCAACAGCCAGAUGGGUCGUUUCAGAUUAUAAUCACUGACGCAUUGAAUGGGGCCUCAACUUGGACAUCAGCUAGUGACUGACAGUAAGGGGGGAAUGAAUUAUAAAAUAAACGUAAGAUCAGAGAUGAAGAAAGUGACAGGACUUAUUCAUGGAUGCAAAACAGAAUGAGUUUCCUCUAUGGUUCUACUUCUUAUUCAUAUGGUAUUUCAUUUUUAACAGCUACAAAAAAUAUGUCCAAUUCUGUCAAGAAUCAGUAGGUUCAGUUCAGUGUGUAUCUAUAAUUCAUAAAUUGCUCUAAUCCUUCCCAAUCUGAGUGUGUAUCUCACUCACACACACACACUGGACCAACUGGCUAGGGAUGUAUUUUGUUCCCAGCUGCUAUCAAACAGGCCUGAUAACCAAGACAGAAUAGCUAAGUACAGGGUUGGCGCGUGAAACUUAAUUAUACGGCAUUUAGAGAUUCAAUUUCUCUAUAUUGGCAUGAAUAAAAGCCAUGAGAAAGUGGUAUGGACUCAUCUAUUGCUGAUAAUUCCUGAUUUAUAUCUGGUGGAAUAUUACUGCCACGGCUGAUUACAGUGGAGUGGAGUUACUGACAAGAACAAUGUGUUCAAAGUAGCCAUGUAAGUUGCACACAGUAUAAGUCCAACUGAUAAAAAUCACAUUAUUUUCUUGGUACAUAAAUGAUCUGUAAAUGCUUCAUGUUCCGUUUUGAGUAAAAAAAAAUACAGUUCAUGGUUAAACCUUUUAUAGCAUUUUGUCUCCAUAUUGCUCUACUCUCAUCUCUAGUUUUCUCAAUUGGUGAAGUUAAAAUUGUUUUCUAAAAAACACCCUUUUAACGGGCUGAACCAGAGUUUGGCCAUCUGUCUCAACAGGUUGGGUUGAGAGACACAGAGAGAUGUGGAGCUCCAUGUCUGUCACCAGGGAGACACACAGCUACAAUAAAUAUCACUAUUGCGAAUAGUGAGAACGUCUCUGGAUUGGCCAGCUGGGGAACACGGGAAACCUCCGGAGUCGGCGCCGGCUCGGGGACGCAGAACACCUCCGGAGUCGCCGGCUCAGCCCCCACCAUAGCCCCCCUCUCAAAGGCCGUAUCCCAAACGGCCCUCAAAUCACCACCGGGAGGGUGGGAGAGGACCACGGGAUGAGAGGGAGGGAGCCUGAGUGCGGGGACUGGAGGCGUCGUGGUCAUGAGUCUCGGGGCCGGUACUGGCCGAGUCGGGGUCGGGGCUGAGAGUCUCGGGGCCGGUACCGGCGGGGUCGGUGCUGAGAGUCUCAUUAACGACAAGUGACAAGAGACACACACUGCUUAAAUACACUAGGGAGGUGCAGGUGAUUGGACACAGGUGGAAACCAUCAGACAAUCACAGGGGAUGACAGGACCAGGGAGGAAGUGAAGUUACCCAGGGUGACACGAAGCAGAAACUACAAAAUAAGACAGGAAAUAACCCACACCGUGACAUGUUCACUUCUGCAUCUAUCCACCAAGUAUCGGAUCCGCACAGACAAUUUGUGGUGGAGGUGAUUGCCUCCGACAUAGGGGUUGGAGGUGUUCUGUCCCAGCGCUUGGCCACUGAGCAAAAGCUCUACCCCUGUGUCUUUUUCUCACGUCGGCUUUCCCCCACCGAAAGAAAUUAGGACAUUGGUAACUGAGAACUGCUAGAAGUAAAGCUGGCACUGGAGGAGUGGUGACAUUGGUUGGAGCUCCCAUUUCUGGUUCUGGUUCUCAUCUUUUCCCUGUGACUUUUUAAUCUGUUUGCUUGCAUUGAGGAAAACAGUCUUCCUAUUUCUUUGGGAAAAAGCAACAUGUUACUUUUUCUGUCUGUUAAAGGAGAUCUUGGUCAAUGGCACACAUUUGAGGGUCAAAGCUAGAAUACUAUCACCGGUGUUUUGUUUUUUGCAAAAGGAUUUAAGAUGCCCUCACCCGGUGAGGAAGCCGAAAGCUCAUGGCACGGACACAUCUGACUGAUCCACCAUUUGCAGUCUUGUCUGAAAAUUAUGAAAUAAUUAAGAACGACAUCCUCCUCACCAUUCUAAAUCCUCUUUUCCUCCUAUUGGAAACUAAAUUGUCUUUCCCUUUACUUAUUUCAUGUCCAUCCUUCUCCUUGGUUGGUUCAUUCUUAUCCUAACACCUUGUUUCUUUUCAGUUUCACAGCUUUGGUUCCUGCAUACUUUAUUCUUAUGGCAAUCUGUUCUCAUCCUUUUUCCAUUUUAUUCCAAGUCUAUGUGCAAUCAUCCCUUUUUUACAUCUUAUGUCACAGAGUGGAUGAUAACAGAUGAUUUAUGUCUGAAACCAUCUCUACCUUAUUGGUCCCCAUUGAUUUUCAGCUUAGGGAAAUGUCACUAUAUCUGUGAUAGUAAUCAAAUCAUACAUCACAGGGUGCUGAAAUGUCCUUUUCAGGGAUAUGACAGAUCUACAGUGCCCCGCACUGCAUCUAUUUCUUUCGCUCCCAUUUUUGGAAGGUUCUUGGAAUAAAUUUGCACCAUCACAUCCUUCCUCCAAAUACAAGAUGGUGUUUAUUACAUAUACAGUAUUAAGGUCUCUAUUUGACUAUGCAAAACUGAGGGCUUUGUUAGGAUCACUAUAUAUAAUCUGAGUUUAUGGGUCAGGUGCUCACUGGAAGGGGCAAAAAAAAAAGAAAAACUCUUGAAGUGAUUUAAUCAGCGAUUUUUGUAAUCUCUGUCUCUCUCACACACAAGCUGCAUGUUUAGAUGAGCAAAGCCUUGCACUGUCAUUUAUCUUCGACAAGGUGAUAAUUAAAGUCACGGCCAUGGCUCUGCUUGCAUCUGUUGUGUGGUGUGUGUGUUCAUCAUGUGUGGCACUGUGAGACGAGUGUGUCAUACAUCUGUUGUGUGGACUGCAGACACUAGCAAUAUACUGUUGAGAGGAUAGCAUGAUAUGCAAAAUUGAUAAUGUUGUUAGAUGACCUUUUAAGGACAAAGAACUAAGGGUUUAGGAUAGAAAAGAGGACACAUAAAUCCCAAUUGCCUAUGUUUUAACCUUGCAAGUAAGAACAAAAUCAAUGAUAUAAUGAGUCAUAUUAUAAAGAUGCUCUGUAGUUUUACCUUGCUAUUAUAAGAGGUAUAAACUCUAAACCAAAUCCCAAAAAUCUCCUUGCAGUUUAUUGCAUGACAUAAGUAUUUGAUCACCUACCAACCAGUAAGAAUUCCGGCUCUCACAGUCUCAAAGAAAAUCAUUAGUAACACACUACGCCGUCAUGGAUUAAAAUCCUGCAGUGCACGCAAGGUCCCCCUGCUCAAGCCAGCGCAUGUCCAGGCCGAUCUGUAGUUUGCCACGCUUUUCAUCCAAAGCGACUUCAUUACAUUUUUGCCCAGGGAGCAAUUAAGGGUUAGGCAUCUUGCUCAGGGACACUUUGACAUGGGGCAGCCGGGACUCCAACCACCAACCAAGCGGUUGCCAGCGGACCCGCUCUACCCCUGUGCCAUGAUGACCUGUAGACCUGGUCUACCUGUAGACCAGGGGUCUCAAACUCGUGCCAGACCAUUACGGUCGGCGGUCCGACCAGUGAACGGAACGGUCAACGGGGGGCGCUGACGUUGCGAUCCCUGCUGUAGACUGACUUUUCAGCGGAGUGGCGACCCGUUAGUUGGGUUUUCUAAGCAACUCAGGAUCUCUUUACUCGUAGUCCGGUGGAGCGGAGUCACCCGCUAGUGCUGUGGUUACUGGUACAGCGGGACCGGGAUCCUGAGUUUCAUAUACUUCUCAGGGUUUCGCAAGGGGAUUUUUACGAGAAGUGUUUUUUUUCGCCUUACGAGAAGGAAAACACCGCCCGUCAGUGUAAAACAAAAUAAGGGGAUCUAACUAGAAUAGCAUGAAAUUGGGAACUUGCAUUACAAUCACUUUAAAAAAUUACCAUUUUCAAGUGGCAUUCCACUCACUCUCGUAAAUAUGUUUCAGAGUUUUACCCAACGUUGUGAAUAGACUAAACUACUUGGUUCUGUUUCAGAAAAGUACUUGUUUUUCACAAAAACUACAGAGUCAAUUAUAAAAAGGUGGGUAACCAGUGGGUGAAGGUCCUGUGCUAUUUGACCCAUCCAGUACCGCCCAACCCCCCCCCCCUAAUCAGAGUCAUCACCCAUUAUACUUUACACCAGUCUUUCUUACAGAAAUACUUAUAGUUUGAUUUAUUAGAUUUUUUUUAGGAUUAUUUUAAACUGAGAUUUGCAUUACUGGCAGAAUAAUAGACUAAUUUCAAGACCUCUCACUGGUUAUGAUAUGUAAACACAGGAAACUUUUUAGGUAACGAACAUAUCAAUGUUGUCAUACAACAUUCUUUUAACCAGUGUAAAUAUAGAAGCAUUAUGAAGGUACAGAUGUCAUGGUAAACGUGCUUUUCAUCUUGCUUUACUGGGAUUCAUAAAAUCUUCCUGAUACAAGUUAAAAACAGUCAAUAAUACUGUGGAUAUGUUAAAACAAGAGGUCUGGACGAGCCCCCCAGAGACACAGCACCAAAGAUAAAUACAUGCGUACAACGCAGCCACCCUGCCGUCUGUAUAUAAUUGCAGUCCAUUAAGACGAUCACGUGGGCAGAAAAACGUGCCCAGCGAUUCAGGGGUAUCCAGUGGAUGGUUAAUGACCCGUGUGUCUGACACAUGGAACACCUCACUAAUCACUCGAUGGGCUGAGACGGAAGCGAUGACUGCAUGCUCCUGUACGGGCACUACCCUUUGUGUGUGUAUGUGUGUGUGCAUGUAAAAAUGUCACUGCAAGCAAAAAAAGAGAAAGGCCAAUCAAGAUCAUUUUCACGUUUGUGUUUUGUCACAUCAAAAAAAAAAAUUUCAGCAUUUUUCCUUGAGGAAAAAGCAUGAACCCUGAAAGGCAGAAUAUUCAUACCGUAACAAAAAAAACUAAUUUUAUAUAUAUAUAUAUAUAUGUGUAUGUAUAUAUGUGUAUGUAUAUAUAUAUAUGGAUAGAUUUCUUACGCCGAAGUAUAGAACGUCCGCAUGGCGGCCAUAUUGGUACGGUCAGCUCGCUCACCCGUAACAUUGUUUUGGUAGUGGUACGAUUUUUAAACGGUUUGCUUUGUUAUAAACGUCAGACUUUUUUAGAACAAUUAUUUAUAAUGUCAUAACUACAUCUCUCCACCCUGUACAGAGAUGUAUGCAUGACACUAAAAUGGACUCUUAAUUUAUUUCUUCUUCACAACAUUAAUGUGACUGCUCACUGAAAUGAGUUCAUAGCUAUUGUUAUCAAAACCUGAACUAUAUAUCUAUUUUUAGAUCUUUACAAUUAAAAGUUUCCUCACUUUGUUCUUGAGCAAGCCCAGAAUGUGUUUUUUUGUGUGUGAGUCAACAUGUUAGUUGUGGCUUCUUUGCAGUUUGACAAACCCGAUCGGAAUCAUGGAAUACUGAAUAAUCAGUGAUGUAAUUAGCUAAUGGUAACGUUUUGUAAAAUUGGAUAUUUGGCUGGUCAACAGUCAAGUUUUAUAUUACGAUCAUGUAGUACAUUUUAUUUGAAAUGCAUUUGAUAUGGUCCCCCAGUAUUGUCUUAAAGGUUGAAAGUCCAUUCUAAAUGUUUCAUCUGUAUGUUUUUUUAAAACAUUGACUCCCCUGUGACGUUUGGAGUAUUCCAGCAUUUCACUUCUCUAAUACAUUUAUCUCAUCUUUUAUAGUUUACUCCAGGGGUCUCAAACUCGCGGCCCGCGGGCCAAUUGCGGCCCUCGGGACGAUAUUUUGUGGCCCCAUCCUUAAUAUGAAAGUGUAAUGUUAGUGCGGCCCGCAAGUUUUAUACUGUAACCCCACUGUCAGCUGCUGUGUGGGACAUGUUAUGAUGUUCUGGUUUCCUACUCUGUGCUUGUCCAGUGAACGUGGCAUGCAUGUGACUGACAUGGGGGGCGGGUCGUGUGUGUCGGCCGAGGUGGAGAGAGCAGGAGGGUGAAAUUCAGUUUCCUGCCCUCUUUCGCGCAGGUGAUCAUGUGACUAACCGUUAGCAUCGCUCGUUUAAUAAAGUUUUCCUUUACGACUCACACUAACAACACAUGAAGCAUCUGACGUCACCGACGAGCGUCUCCGUCCAUUACUACGCAGCUUCGAUUCACGUAACUUCACGUUUGGCUAUAAAGGAAUUCCACGGUCACAUGACCUUAGGUCUCCCCCCCUGAGUUAAAGGAGGACUAGUGUUGUAUUCUCAUUCGGACCGAUCCCCCAGGGUGGGGUUCAAUGACUGCUUUCGAAAGUGAGUGUUAAGUUGUGUUAUUGUCGACCAUGCCGUUCGGACGCUAGUCUGGCCCGCGUUCGGUUGAAGUGGGCUGCAUCUGGCCCGCAGCUGAUUUGAGUUUGAGACCCCUGGUUUACUCAGUGUUACAUGCCAGACGGGGACGGUCUGCAUGUGUUCUUGUCGUUCUCCCUCCUGCUCAUUGGUUUCUCUCCCCCAGUGAUUAUGCUGAUUGCUUUCCACCUGUGUUUGGAUUUGGCCAAUCAGCAGUUCCGGUGGCAGUCCAUAAAGGAAGACUCCUGAGAAGUGAAAUGGGGUGUGUUCUGCGCUGCGGGCUGGUGGCCAGUCUCCCUGUACGUGAGCUUUAGCUGGCUGCUAGCAAAACUGGAGUUUUGUAAGGUGGAGGUUGAGGACCUUAGUAAGUUGGGGUACCCUGUACAUUUUUGCACGUAGGUAUACCUUUGUAUAGACACACCAGGUGUAGUGGUUGUGGCCUCCUGUGUAACGUUUUCCUUUAGUCCUUUUUUAGAGAAGCAGGUAAGGUAUUUUGUUUGACUUGUUUUGGAUGAAGAGCCAGUGGUGAGCUAGGCCUCGUUUUGUUAUAUUCAUUUCAUUUGUUUGGCACAACCUGUAGGUCCCAUCUUCCACCAUCUCCCUCCCUCCUGUUGGGAGCCAUCUUUUUGUGUAAGAAUAAAAACUAGAAAGACACCUUUUACCCUGACUCUGUCGCCUGUCUUUGAUUGUUGUUUUACUGUCCUGGAAUCUACAAAAGGGCCGUAACACUCCGCAUCAGUAAGGCUCUAAAGACAACCUCUUUAUGAUAGUAAGUAAUAGGCUGUAUGCUCAAUACAGGCACAAUCUGAUCUUUUUUAGUGGGAUGUGUGAUAAUUCUCCUGCUCUCCUUUGUAGGAUUAUGCAUGUGGAAGUGUAAGUAAUGCGGUUAGGAUCUGGAGGUUGACAAUGCAUUUUUCGGAAUCUUCUUAAUUAAUUUCCUGAUCAGAUGGUUUAUUAUUUUGUAUUUGUUGUAUUGGAUGGUCAUUUCUAACUUCUCUGAGCAUUUGCAAUAAAAACGCCCGAACUACGUUAUGUCUCAUGUGUCUUAAAUCAUCAAAAUGAGUUGUACCAAUUUAAAUCAUAUUGCAUAGAUGUUAUUAGAUUGAGUUAAAUCCUGUACACAAAUGAAUUGAGUUUUUCCAAUGACUUAUUUUUUUUGAGUGUGGAGAGGUAUGUACAAACUGGCCACACUUAUGUGAAAGCAGACUGUCGCGGAAACUUAAAAUGGCAAACUGCGCUAUGUCAUGCAUAUGCAUUCAAGGGAGGAUCGAGGGGACGGUGGGGGGUUAAGCAGCCAUGCAAUAUUAUAUGCAUGGGGGAGCAUGGAGUAAAGAGGGUUUGCCGGGAACCACAAGGUUGGCGGUUCGAAGCCCGGCUGCACCAUCUCCCAUGUCGAAAGUGUCCCUGAACAAGACACCUAACCCCUAAUUGCUCCCUGGGGCAAAAUGUAAAAACCAUGGGUAGAAAUGCAAUGUAAGUCGCUUUGGAUAAAAGCGUCAGCUAAAUGACCUGUAAUGUAAUUAGUUACUGAAAGAAAUCAAAGAGGACAUAGUGUUCACAUUCAAUUCCAGCAGUUCAACUUUUAUUGUUGUUGUUUAACAUUUUGAUAUUGGCUGAUCCAUGAUUGAAAAAAAGGUAAUCUUCCCACAAAUCUGCUUAUAAUGCAAAGAUGGAUGUGUUUAAAAAAAAAAAAAAAAACACUUUCUAAUUUUUAAAGACACACGUGCAGUUGUGGGAUAUAAAAAAAUGGGAUCUCUAGAUCACAGAAACAAUGCUGUGAGUAUUCGUCUGACCAGGGCCGCUGCAGGAUACAGACUAAGCCGCUGUGAGAUGGAACCGAACAUCCCCUUAUUCCCCAAUGCAACCUAUAGUCAUUUCCUUCUCUUCCCUUCAUAACAUUCCCAAUGCAAUUACAGAGCAACAUAAGAUCAAUUUAGCUGUAGAAUGGAGUUUAUGUUUCCAGUGUCUGGGGCCCCUCAGUAUUUGGAGCUACACCUUCCAAUAUGUUCCUCUCUGCCUAGAGAUAAUUCAAUCAUUCUCACUUUCAGUUACUCUCAGGGCAAAGGAGCGGACGCCGCCAGGUCCCCUUUGAUUCGAGUAACUCGAUAGAAGUGCGAUUGUGUUUCUUUUGCUGCAGCACACAAACACACACACACACACAAGCUCUGGCUCACUGACAAAGAGAUUGCAAUUAUUUUACUUUACCAAUUGAUCUUUUCUCCCUUGGGGGACUGCCUCACCAAGGCCGUGCACCAACUGUUACCACUAACUUUCUCAAGGGAAUUACCAACAAGUUAGGACCUUUUCCACCAAUGACCGCAUUGCUUCGUAUCUCAUAAAAUUCACUCCCUUCUGUAUUUUUCUGUCUCACCCUCCAUGGCACCUAAGUGCAAAUCAAGUAUCAUCAAUAUGUCAACCGUAAAACAUAGAGUGCACUGCCAAGAGCAGUUCCUCUAAUGUUCAACAUUAAAUAAGGGGAAGCGGUUAGCUGCAAGCCAAGCGGCAGAGGGAAUUAUAUACAUUUAAACGGAGGUUUGGCAUUGGUUUUCAUUAGCAGCUGUUUCUAGUGUGACAGGCUGCCUUUAAGGCCAGAGAUCUGGGCAAACAAUAGAAAAAUACAUAUCAUAACGGGUUGCCAUGGAUUCCUUUGUUCUUUGUGAGGAAACCAUGGCCUAUUGUCCGAUUCUGAGACAUGCUUUGACAGCUUUGGUCUUGGAAGCAAACCAGAGGUCUCCCACUUUGUUUGCUGAGGGGUCAGAGAUGCAAAACUGCAAUCCAAACGGGGGUGUUCUUUAGCAAAGUGUUUUUUCCAGAUAGUCCUGCAGGGCAUUGUUCAAACUGUCAAUAGUUGAUCCCAUAUUCCAGGUUUCUCCUCCCACUCAUUUCUCCCUCCUCUCUCCCUUUGCCUAACUUUGCUCACCUAGUUUUAUGAGUACGCAUGGGCAUAGUCAUUUAUCAGGCAGGCAGAUAGUAGGAUGAUGUGGGACGUGUGGAGGAAACUCGUGAUGGAUUAAGAGCCAGAGAUCGGUCUCUGCUUCAAAGAGAACAUUUCAAGAAUUAAGACGAGCGAGAUAAUUUUACUACAUCUACUACUUCCAAAAAUUAAUACUAGACUCUUCAGAUAUAGUGGGAAUGCAGGUACCGGUGUAAAGAGGAAGUACAUUGGUUGCUUAGAGAGUGUGGGUGCUAUUGUAGUCUAACAAUAGUGUUGGACCAUUAAGAUCUCCCUAAAAGUUUAAUUUUCUCACUUAGUGACAUGAAUUGCUUUUCCACACAUAAAAGAUUACUAUAUUAUGGGUUAAUAGAUGAUGUCAGCAAAAAGUCUCUUGUACUGUGUUCACACCAAAGGCGAAGCAAAUUAUUUGCACAGACUGACUGUUCAGAGGAAGCAAAUUUUCAACGGGCGGCAUGGGGGCUGCGAAAAAGCGAAAAGGAGCAGAGCGAAUAAAUUGUGCCUCCACUUUGCGGUAAAAAUGAUCCGCCUCUUAAAAGCAGGUGUAAACCAGAAUGAGAGUCUCCUCACAUGCCUCCUGGUGAAAUGACAGCAGUAAUUCGAGCAAGACGGCAACACAGGCCAAGGAGACGAGCCGAUAGGAUUCACACUUUUUUUCAGUUGAGUGAAGAAAUAAUCAUUACACGUUACAGAUGCAAAUGUACGUACAUGAGACCCUGAGACCCUCUCGCCUUUUUUCCGAGAAACCAAAAAUCCAACCUCAGAAUCUUGAAAUGUGCAGCUGUUUGUCCAGCUUUACCCUUCGGUCAUAUAUAUUGCACCUGUCAAGGAGUAACAUAAAGCAAGUGGUUAAUUACAAAGAUCAAAACAGGGUUUAAAACAACCUGUUGUUGCUUUUGUGUACUGUUCCUAUACUGCAGUAGCUUUAUUGACAGGAACGCACUCAAAGCCAAUGGGACUUUUUCUAUGUAAAAUCAAUGGAAAGAUACCUGCCUGUUCUAUUACCACAUAUGCAGACAAAAGGUGUUAUGAAAUCCACUCGUGGUGUUGACUUUGAAGGCAACAUCCUAGAAAAACAUGAGCCCGUCAGCCCGUCAAACAUCGAUGUGUUUUGUCACAGUAGUGAUUCAAAAAUACUGGGUCGAAGAAGAUUUUAUCCGAAUAGCCGAAUUCUGAUCUAAAGAAGAGAGCACAGAGGUUUGUAUAAUCUACUCAUAGCAGAUAAUCUAAUAUGAAACCCUAAUUUAACACGUGCAAAUGUUUUAAGUUAAGUAACCAAUGCAUAACAUGAAGCCGGGAUUCAUAUCUCUUUGAAACGGCUGGUUUAUCUGUUCAAGAUCUUAUUGCAAUGUGUGGUAACAAGAUCCUUCAUUUACAAACAAAUUCUCCCUUCACAUAUUUCUAGAUAAGAUUGUUAAUGUUGUGCCAUUUCUUCUAACUAUUAGUAUCAUGUUUGAAGUACCUUCAGUCGUCUGAAACAGACAAUGUUGUGUGUGUGUGUGAGCACAUCAUCUACUAAAUAAUCCAAUAUUCUUUUUUGUGAUGUCUUUAAAAGCAGGAGAUCCAUUGUGUCUUCAGAAAACAAUCAGUAUAUACACAUAACAGUGCAUACAUUUGCACAGAAUAAUUAAAUUUGUAAAGACCUUUUAGGUCGUUAGGCUAAUUUUUUCCUCUUUAGAUCCUGUCUCAUCUUCGUUAUUUGAAAUGGAAUUUGAGGCUCAGGUUUGUUGCUAUGUUGCUUCAAAGAGAUGCAUGUGUCUAGGAAUAGACAACAAAGCCUUCCUCAUAGGCUAGAUAAAAUCACAGCACAAGGAAUACUUUCUGAAGUGGAAAGAGAUAUUCCGGUGUUUGAAAUCUAGCACCGUGCAGGCUGGUUACAGCUCAGUACUUGAACACAGGCUGGAAGACAGCAGCCAAAGGAAAAUUAUGGGUUUUAAUUUUAAUUUAAAAAUGU
ensembl:lncRNA